CCUACGGGAGGCAGCAGUGAGGAAUAUUGGUCAAUGGGCGCGAGCCUGAACCAGCCAAGUAGCGUGAAGGAUGACUGCCCUACGGGUUGUAAACUUCUUUUAUAAAGGAAUAAAGUGAGGCACGUGUGCCUUUUUGUAUGUACUUUAUGAAUAAGUAUCGGCUCACUCCGUGCCAGCAGCCGCGGUAAUACGGUGGAUCCGGGCGUUAUCCGGAUUUAUUGUGUUUAAAGGGAGCGUAAAGGGGUUGUUAAGUCAGUUGUGAAAGUUUGCGGCUCAAACGUAAAAUUGCAAUUGAUACUGGCAGGCUUGAGUACAGUUGAGGUAGGCGGAAUU
rnacentral:rRNA from 1 species